rnacentral:rRNA from 1 species
AUUGAACGCUGGCGGCAGGCCUAACACAUGCAAGUCGAGCGGAUGAAGGGAGCUUGCUCUUGGAUUCAGCGGCCGACGGGUGAGUAAUGCCUAGGAAUCUGCCUGGUAGUGGGGGAUAACGUACGGAAACGGGAGCUAAUACAGCAUACGUUCUGAGGGUGAAAGUGGGGGGUCUUCGGACCUCACGCUAUCAGAUGAGCCUAGGUCGGAUUAGCUAGUUGGUGGGGUAAAGGCCUACCAAGGCGACGAUCCGUAACGGGUCUGAGAGGAUGAUCAGUCACACUGGAACUGAGACACGGUCCAGACUCCUACGGGAGGCAGCAGUAGGGAAUAUUGGACAAUGGGCGAAAGCCUGAUCCAGCCAUGCCGCGUGUGUGAAGAAGGUCUUCGGAUUGUAAAACACUUUUAGUUGGGAGGAAGAGCAGUAAGAUAAUACCUUGCUGUUUUGACGGUACCAACAGAAUAAGCACCGGCUAACUUCGUG